UGAAGACCAAAAAUGCAAAGAAAAUCAGUCACAGCAAGUCAACAGGCAAACCCGUCCUGAUGACUGAGGCAUGAACAUGGUCUUCUUCUGCCCAAACAGAAAAGAGAAAGCUGGAAAGUUGCACAUUUCCAUUGAUCCUUUAAUGAGCAUAUCAGCUGUGCGUCAUCUCUGGGAUUUAGGCAGGAAAUGACUGAAUAUGGAAGAUGAAGCCAGUUGAUAAAGAUAUCAAUUCAAUGGCCACCAAGUGAAGCACUGCUGCCUGAACCCAUCAGAUAUCUGCUGUGAAGACUGCAUUUACGAACAGCUCUACUGUGACAGCGCAGAUGUUACAGCCCAUAAAAGAAACAAGAUAGUGGUGGAGGGAUUCUUUUAGCUCAUACCUCCAACAAGAAUCAAUGGACAUCAAGACCAGGUGGUGUGUGAGAAAAGCAUGGAGGACCGUCAGAGACUACAGCCACCCGAGCCAUGGAUUGCUCUCACCGUCACCAUCAGGCAGAUGUUAUCGCAGAACCUUCACCAGCAGACUGCGAGACAAGUUCUAUCCACAGACAAUCAGACUGAACUGAGCUCGUACCAGUAACACCACACACAGCACACCAACCUCUUAUGCACUGCACUCCAUCACUUCCACUGACUGGACUCUGACUCACUAUUAUUCUGCAUCCUGACAAUCUGUUUGCACUAAUUCAUACUGUACUGCACUGCAAAGGUAUAUGUAUACUGUGAUUAUUGUUUUCAUUUCAUGCUGUCUGUAUAGUAUAAUAUUUACCAUAUGGUGUUCUCUAUCUGUAUUGAGUCCCUUAUAUGUGUGUGUUGCAUAUAUAUUCAGUAUUUG